rnacentral:rRNA from 1 species
UAUGGUGCAAGCGUUAUCCGGAUUUACUGGGUGUAAAGGGAGCGCAGGCGGCACGCUAAGCCUGAUGUGAAAGCCCGCGGCCCAACCGCGGGACUGCAUUGGGAACUGGCGCGCUGGAGUACCGGAGGGGCAGGCGGAAUUCCUAGUGUAGCGGUGAAAUGCGUAGAUAUUAGGAGGAACACCAGUGGCGAAGGCGGCCUGCUGGACGGUAACUGACGCUGAGGCUCGAAAGCGUGGGGAGCAAA